rnacentral:rRNA from 1 species
UGCAAGUCGAACGCGAAAGGGACUUCGGUCCUGAGUAAAGUGGCGCACGGGUGAGUAACGCGUAGAUAACCUGUCUUCAUGUCUGGAAUAAUACGCCGAAAGGGGUACUAAUACCGGAUAUUCUUGCUUUUCAUAAGUUAUGCAAGCAAAGGUGGCCUCUGCAUAUGCUACUGCAUGAAGAGGGGUCUGCGUACCAUUAGCUAGUAGGUGGGGUAAUGGCCUACCUAGGCGACGAUGGUUAGCGGGUCUGAGAGGAUGAUCCGCCACACUGGCACUGGAACACGGGCCAGACUCCUACGGGAGGCAGCAGUGAGGAAUAUUGCGCAAUGGGGGAAACCCUGACGCAGCGACGCCGCGUGGGUGAGGAAGGCCUUCGGGUCGUAAAGCUCUGUCAAGAGGAAAGAAGUGUACAAUGGCUAAUACCUGUUGUAUUUGACGGUACCUCUAAAGGAAGCACCGGCUAACUCCGUGCCAGCCGCCGC